UACGAAGGGGGCUAGCGUUGCUCGGAAUCACUGGGCGUAAAGCGCACGUAGGCGGCUUUUUAAGUCAGGGGUGAAAUCCUGGAGCUCAACUCCAGAACUGCCUUUGAUACUGAGAAGCUUGAGUCCGGGAGAGGUGAGUGGAACUGCGAGUGUAGAGGUGAAAUUCGUAGAUAUUCGCAAGAACACCAGUGGCGAAGGCGGCUCACUGGCCCGAUACUGACGCUGAGGCACGAAAGCGUGGGGGAGCAAACAGG
rnacentral:rRNA from 1 species